GGAUUUGACACUUUGAUGUCCUCUGUUUUAUACUUGCAUGUUGCCUUCCAUGAGCUUUUGACUGUUUUCUGUUCAGCCCUGCAUGCUGUCGCUACUUGUAUAUAUCGUCGCAUUAAAAUUUCUUGAUUGAUCAGAAGAGCUUCUUUGUGGUGGUGGUGCCAUUAUUGCUUAUAAAUUUUUUAUGUAGGUAAAAAUGCUUUGGCAUUGACGUCAUGUAAUUAGAUGUAACAGUGGCAACUCGUACGCCCAAGGAGAGAGAUGGAGCUAGCUUUAGCCUUAUUUUGAACUAAUCUCAGGGGUAAGGUUUGAGCACACAGAUCUCAGGUGUACUAGGAGAUGGAGCGAUCCAUUGGUGAUGCGUACGACUCUGUUUUGACAGGGGUCACACUGGGUGCAAGCAUCGGCUGCGGCGCUGAGUUUUCAGAAGGGGGGUUGGUCCAGAGGCAAAUGUGAACCAGGCUGCGUCUGCACGAUCAGAUGGGAGUGUUGUUUCCCGCAUGUCGAAUGGAUCAUUUCAGAGCUCGCCAGUUCACGGCCAUGCGCUGGUGGCUACUGUCUACAUCGAUGAUAAGCUUCAUGUUGAUCCGGAGGCUGCUAUGGAACCAGAAGCAGGUGAAGUGGAGGGGACUGGCGAGCACGAUCCAACUGCUACCGUCUCUGCUAACUCAUGGCCAUGACAGCGAGCAAUGGCAGCAGAGGAAUCUUGCAGUGGAAGGAUGCGGGAGGAGCUGAAUUAAUGGGUGCCGUGGGGGGACGUCCGUUUGGUGGCUGACGACUGAGCCGUGGCUCAUGAUGCAACUCUUCAUCUGAGCCGUGGUUGUGACAAUGACGGCCGUUGCAUUUAAUGCGGUGGUUGAGUGGGCCACAACCUGCGAAAAAGCCCGGCAUACUCCUCCAAAUACAGAGUAAAAUACUGACAGUGGUCCAAAUCUUAGCGCUACACAACGGCUGAGAUAAAGGGAACAUCUGAGCUCGAGCUCAGAAUAUGACUUUUGAGCUCGAAGCAGAUGAUUUGAAGGCGGCUCCGGGUUAUGGCACUGGCCAGAGACGGUUUGGGAUGCGGCAGUGCGCAAGGCAGCCCGGCGCAGUGGAGCCAAAGGAUGGGCAACGCGCAAGGCGGCCCGGCGGCUCAGGAGGCUGGGGCACAGCGCGGCAAGGCUUGGCGGCGGUUUGGAUCCCGAUGGAGAUGCAGACGGAGGAGCGGCCGAGCCCGUAGCUGACAAUAACGGGCGGGUCAACCCGGACCGUGUCAAACCGCUUGCGCCGGGGCGGUUUAGUACAGUCAUAGACGUUGACUUGGAGCAAGGAUGUUGCAGGGUUAAGAUCAGAGCAGCUCAGGUGUGGCGGUUCAAGGUCACAGCGGGGCGACUCACAGGCUCAUGCGAGGCCGUUUUGAAGAUGGUUGGCAGCAGCGCGAUGACCCGCCGUGGUGCGCCGGAACAGCAGCAGGUACCACGCAGUGGGAGACACAGCCGGUAACCCAUUGUCAGCGGUUCCGCGAUUUAAUCCGGAGAGGUUCCAAGGCAGGAGAUCGACCCAGCGGCGGCUCAGCAGUGAAACAAGGCAGAUCAAAGCCGCGAAAAAGCAGUAACGGCCGAACAGCAUGAGGUCAAAAACGGCUCGGUGACGUUGUACGCUCAUGACCCAAUCCUUCUCCGAGUCAUUAUUGGUUUGAUUUUGAUCACGAAAAACAUGGUCGCGGAAAACAUGCCGGAGCUGCGGCUUGCUGACAGUGGUCGUAACUGGGUCGCAAAAAACAUGCCGGACGCUGGUCCAUGCCAUUAGUAGCAGCUAUAUUUGUGCACCUCCUAA